rnacentral:rRNA from 1 species
GACGAACGCUGGCGGCGUGCUUAACACAUGCAAGUCGAACGAAGAGCGAUGGAAGCUUGCUUCUAUCAAUCUUAGUGGCGAACGGGUGAGUAACGCGUAAUCAACCUGCCCUUCAGAGGGGGACAACAGUUGGAAACGACUGCUAAUACCGCAUACGAUCUAAUCUCGGCAUCGAGGAUAGAUGAAAGGUGGCCUCUACAUGUAAGCUAUCACUGAAGGAGGGGAUUGCGUCUGAUUAGCUAGUUGGAGGGGUAACGGCCCACCAAGGCGAUGAUCAGUAGCCGGUCUGAGAGGAUGAACGGCCACAUUGGGACUGAGACACGGCCCAGACUCCUACGGGAGGCAGCAGUGGGGAAUCUUCCGCAAUGGACGAAAGUCUGACGGAGCAACGCCGCGUGAGCGAUGACGGCCUUCGGGUUGUAAAGCUCUGUUAAUCGGGACGAAAGGCCUUCUUGCGAAUAGUGAGAAGGAUUGACG